AACGCAAGUUGCACUCUCGCUUGCGCGGGAGUAUGCCUCUUUCAGUAUCUUUUAUACCACAACUCAUCCUCGUGAUGGAUAAUGAGCGUCUUAGGGGGUCUCCUCCUAAGUCGCUUUAAGUACAGAGAGCCGUAUUUAUUUCCGGUUGUGAAAGAGACUAACGUCGGUAGGUUGCAAAACACACCAGCGUUUGGUUUCACAAACCUUCACUACCAUAUGGAGAUAAAGGCGUAAGGGUGACUCUGAUGGGCAUAAAUCCCCCAUUGGUUGGUCUGCCCACUUUACCACCAUUUGAUCUGAAAUGAGGUAAGAGGACCCGCUGAAUUUAA
rnacentral:misc_RNA from 1 species